rnacentral:rRNA from 1 species
AAGAGACAGCAGCAGCCGCGGUAAUACGAAGGGUGCAAGCGUUACUCGGAAUUACUGGGCGUAAAGCGUGCGUAGGUGGUGGUUUUAGUCCGUUGUGAAAGCCCUGGGCUCAACCUGGGAAUUGCAGUGGAUACUGGAUCACUAGAGUGUGGUAGAGGAUAGUGGAAUUUCCGGUGUAGCAGUGAAAUGCGUAGAGAUCGGAAGGAACAUCUGUGGCGAAGGCGACUAUCUGGGCCAACACUGACACUGAGGCACGAAAGCGUGGGGAGCAAACAGGAUUAGAUACCCGGGUAGUCCUGUCUCUUAUACA